rnacentral:rRNA from 1 species
GUGGGGAAUAUUGGGCAAUGGGCGCAAGCCUGACCCAGCAACGCCGCGUGAGGGAAGAAGGCUUUCGGGUUGUAAACCUCUGUCCUUGGUGACGAAGAAAGUGACGGUAGCCAAGGAGGAAGCCCCGGCUAACUACGUGCCAGCAGCCGCGGUAAUACGUAGGGGGCGAGCGUUGUCCGGAAUUACUGGGCGUAAAGGGUGCGUAGGUGGCCUUUUAAGUUGGAUGUGAAAUACCCGGGCUUAACUUGGGGGGUGCAUCUAAUACUGGGAGGCUAGAGUGCAGGAGAGGGAAGCGGAAUUCCUAGUGUAGCGGUGAAAUGCGUAGAUAUUAGGAGGAACACCAGUGGCGAAGGCGGCUUUCUGGACUGUAACUGACACUGAGGCACGAAAGCGUGGGGAGCAAACAGGAUUAGAAACCCUUGUAGUCC